rnacentral:rRNA from 1 species
GACGAACGCUGGCGGCGUGCCUAAUACAUGCAAGUCGAGCGGGGAUUAUGCUUGAUCGCUUCGGUGAGACGGCAUAUAUCCUAGCGGCGGACGGGUGAGUAACGCGUGGGUAAUCUACCUCGUAGUUCGGGAUAACAGGCCGAAAGGCUUGCUAAUACCGGAUGAGUUCAUGCUUAUGCAUAUAGGCAUGAAGAAAGGGCUAGCCCGCUAUGAGAUGAGCCCGCGUCCCAUUAGCUUGUUGGUGGGGUAAUGGCCUACCAAGGCAACGAUGGGUAGCCGGCCUGAGAGGGUGUACGGCCACACUGGGACUGAGACACGGCCCAGACUCCUACGGGGGGCAGCAGUAGGGAAUUUUCGGCAAUGGGCGAAAGCCUGACCGAGCGACGCCGCGUGAGGGACGAAGGCCUUCGGGUUGUAAACCGUCUGUCUGGGGGAGUGAGAACGGACGGUACCCCCGGACGGAAGCCCCGGCGUAACUACGUGCCAGCAGCCGCGGUAAAGUCACGUCG